UACGUAGGGUGAGAGCGUUGUCCGGAAUUAUUGGGCGUAAAGGGCUCGUAGGCGGUUUGUCGCGUCGGGAGUGAAAACCUCGGGCUUAACUCGGGGCUUGCUUUCGAUACGGGCAGACUGGAGGUAUGCAGGGGAGAACGGAAUUCCUGGUGUAGCGGUGAAAUGCGCAGAUAUCAGGAGGAACACCGGUGGCGAAGGCGGUUCUCUGGGCAUGACCUGACGCUGAGGAGCGAAAGUGUGGGGAGCGAACAGG
rnacentral:rRNA from 1 species